GCCCUUGUGGCGGAAUUGGUAGACGCAGCAGACUCAAAAUCUGCCAUUCAUUAGGAUAUGGGAGUUCAAGUCUCCCCGGGGGUACCA
rnacentral:tRNA from 1 species